GCGGGACUGGCGCUGCUUCUCCGCCGCGCCCAGCGCCCGCAGCCGCUGCCGCAGCUCCCCUCGCAGCGCCCGCUUAGCGGCCCGCAGCGCCGCCGCCAUCUCGCCGCCCUCCCCCGGCGGCUCCAUGCGCCGAAGCAAGUGGAGGUUUUGUCCUGGUGAAGAUAAUCUGGAGCCCACCAGACCGUUAACGAUCCAGUAAAACAAUGUCCUUUCAUGGAGGUGCAACAGAGAUUCCAAGAGCUGUCUGGAUGCGGAGAAUGAUCUCUCUCUUGAAGCAGUCCUGCCUGGAAAGGGUGACUUGAAUUGCUGCAUGAUGCUGUGUCAAUUCC